UACGUAGGGGGCAAGCGUUGUCCGGAAUCAUUGGGCGUAAAGAGCGUGUAGGCGGCCUGGUAAGUCCGCUGUGAAAGUCGGGGGCUCAACCCUCGGAUGCCGGUGGAGUACUGUCGAGCUUGAGUACGGAAGAGGCGAGUGGAAUUCCUGGUGUAGCGGUGAAAUGCGCAGAUAUCAGGAGGAACACCAAUUGCGAAGGCAGCUCGCUGGGACGUACUGACACUGAGAGACGAAAGCUAGGGGAGCGAAUGGG
rnacentral:rRNA from 1 species